GGUCCCACCCCUUCCCAUCCCGAACAGGACCGUGAAACGACUCAGCGCCGAUGAUAGUGCGGAUUCCCGUGUGAAAGUAGGUCAUCGUCAGGC
rnacentral:rRNA from 1 species